UGAGUUUGAUUCUGGCUCAGGACGAACGCUGGCGGCGUGCCUAACACAUGCAAGUCGAGCGGGGAUCAGCAUUUGAUUUAUCAUAUGCGAAGUCCUAGCGGCGGACGGGUGAGUAACGCGUGAGCAACCUGCCUAUUAGAGGGGGAUAACACAUCGAAAGGUGUGCUAAUACCGCAUAUGGUAUUUGCUUUGCAUAAAGCGAAUAUAAAAGGAGCAAUCCGCUAAUAGAUGGGCUCGCGUCCCAUUAGCUAGUUGGUAGAGUAAAAGCCUACCAAGGCGACGAUGGGUAGCCGACCUGAGAGGGUGAUCGGCCACAUUGGGACUG
rnacentral:rRNA from 1 species